UCUGUAUUUCUCAGCGUUGAGGACACCAUUGUUGUAGUAGAGUGACCCCUUCUGUUCAAAUUAGGUUAUUGCAUAUUAUUAUUUAAGUCCUUAUAUGAUGACAUCACAAACAUGAGUCUAGUUUUCAGCAGCAGCAGGGAAGAGCAUGCAGCACUGUUCCUUGAUUUAAGUUGAUUUUAAGUUUAAGGCACUUUAUUUUUACGUUACUCCUGGGGCCUGUUGCACAAAAGUAGAAUUAAGACAUCCAGGAAAGUAUUGCAGACCGACUGAAAGUAGUGCACAAUUACACACUCACCGCUCCGCUGAAACAUCACAAUUACAAUCCAAAUAGUUAAUUCACAUCUCCAAAAACGCAGUUGUACUCUGAUUAUGAAAAAAAAUUUAAUUGAAAUGGACUGCAGAUAUGAGUGAAAUUGUGUAAGAAAACUCCAUCACACUGUAUAAGGCUUUGAUAAAUUAUCAAAGCCUUAUAUUAUUACUACGCUCACUAGUACGGUUUAAUCUUAGCCUUUGUACUCUGCUUCUUAGGUUGUCCAUCGAUUUUUCUGUGUUCUGCUUUUAUUAAUGUAAAGCUGAUUUGAAACAAUUGUGAAAAGAGCUAUAUAAAUUUAAUUGAAUAAAUAGAUGAGCUAAUAAUAAUAAUAAUAAUAAUAAUAAUAAUAAUAAUAAUAAUAAUAAUCACUUUAAUUUAUAUAGCGCCUUUCAAAUGAUCCAAGGUCGCUUGCUCACUGACUCCAUUGAAUGUUCUUGUGUGAUAAAGAAAGUGUCUCUUUUUGUGUGCGUGUGUGUGGUGUGUGUGAUGUAGAUUAAAAAUGACCAGGCCAAAACGGACAUGGCAGCAAGUCAAAAUCAAAUAUAAGAACAUUCUGCAGAAUGCAGUGAAAAAGAAUACCCACAGACAAGGCAUGGGUGGUGGGUCACCAAAAGCUGACCUCACCCCAGCAGAGGACAUAGCCUUGGAGCUUAAUAAAGGCAGGCCCAUGUUGGAGGGGAUCCUUGGGGGGAAAGAGACAAGCAUAGGUCCCUCCCAAGAUGCCACCCGCUUCGUACAAUCUCUUCCAUCUCUACAUGGGACACAACCACAUUCAUAUUGAAUCCAUUUGGACUGUCUGACUUUGUUUGCCUAUUGCCUUGCAGUGUCUGGCAGCACUGUGUUCCUGUUAGAGUCACCAGCACAAGCACCAGAUGAUGCUGAUCCAGGUGACGGCCCUAGUGCAGCAGCAACAGCACAUUACGGCGAUGAUGAUGAUGAGGAGACCAUCUCUCUGGAUUCCAGAAGGCAUGAGGACCCAGAUGCUGUACAGUGGGAAAGCCAGCCUGGCAACAUGAGCUCACAAACUAUCAGACGGUUGUAUGGCAACCACCUCUGGCACCAAAUAGAACUGGCAGAUAUAGAUAUCCAGUACAAGGAAAAAAAAGAUGGGAAAAUCUUGCACUGGAGUCUGAAAAAAAUUUGAGGACAAUUAGGAAACUAGACCUUGAAAUAAAAAAAACGAGCGGGAGGUGAGUUAUGCCUUCAAUGUACACUAUAUGCUAACUGUAACACAAAUGUAUUAAUCAUUAUUCUCCUUUCCUCCCCAAGCUCCAAGAAGAUGACACAUCUUAAAAUAAAUCAAAUCAAAUUUUAUUCGUCACAUACACACAUAUAGGGUCCGAUAUGCAGUGAAAUGCUUUAUGCAACUGUCCGGUAUAAGAAUAAAGAAUAUCAAAAAAGUUUAAAGAAGCAAAAAAUAAAAUGAAAAUAAAAUAACAACGUAUAAACUAUAUAAGAAAACUAUAUAAAAAUAUGAAAUGUGGAGAAUAUGAAGAAAAUGUAUAUACAUAAAUAUACAUGUACAUAAAUGUGUAUGGUUUUUAAAGAUUGUCCUUAAAGUGUCCAGGUGCAGUAUGGUGUGUAAUAGUGUAUAAAAUGGCACUGUGCUGUCCAGAGUUAAAGUGACAGUGGUAGUCGUUGAGGCAGGUGGGCUGGGGUUUCUUCGGGACAGGAACAAUGGUGGACUGUUUGAAGCAUGAGGGGACAACAGACUGUUCCAUUGAGUGGUUGAAUAUCUCAGUGAACACUGGUGCUAGCUGGUCAGCUCAGGCCUUCAGAGAACCCGAAAAAUAAAAAAUAUAAGGCCAAUUCUUGUCAAGUGAGCCAUGACAUAUGAGCUCCCAUUGUGAGCGCACAGGACCAGUGGCAUCUUUAGUAGGUUGUUUUUUAUUUUACCCAGCAAUCAGUACAAAUAAGCAUCUUUUGCCCACCCAACCAGUUCCAGGUGUGGCCACUAGACUAUAUGAAGGCCCAAAAUGGUGUGCCCAUUCUUGCGAGAUGUGGUGGAUGAAGAAGCACUUGUGCUCAGAAGAGCCUUCAGGUGAGAGAGGGUCUUCAGGGACCGGUUGGACCCACUGGCCUUCCCUGAUGACCAUCUAUAUGAAAGAUACAGAUUUUCUGCAGAUGGCAUCAGGUAUCUGUGCCGACUGCUGGGUCCCAGGAUUAAGCACCGCACAGCAUGGAGCCAUGCACUGAGUGUGGAGCAAAUGGUUUGUGUGGCCUUGCGCUUUUUUGCUAGUGGAGCCUUCCUGUACUCAGUGGGGGAUGCAGAACAGCUGAACAAGGCCACAAUUUGCCGCACAAUAAGGAGUGUGUGUCUGGCUAUUAAGCAUUAGCAGAUGUCUUCAUCUCCUUCCCUGGCCACAGAAGACUCUGUGACAUCAAAGAGGAGUUCUAUAGGAUUGCAGG